AGCGAACGCUGGCGGCAGGCCUAACACAUGCAAGUCGAACGAACUCUUCGGAGUUAGUGGCGGACGGGUGAGUAACACGUUGGAACGUGCCUUUUGGUUCGGAAUAACUCCGGGAACCUUGUGCUAAUACCGAAUGUGCCCUUCGGGGGAAAGAUUUAUCGCCAUUAGAGCGGCCCGCGUCUGAUUAGCUAGUUGGUGAGGUAACGGCUCACCAAGGCGACGAUCAGUAGCUGGUCUGAGAGGAUGACCAGCCACACUGGGACUGAGACACGGCCCAGACUCCUACGGGAGGCAGCAGUGGGGAAUCUUGCGCAAUGGGCGAAAGCCUGACGCAGCCAUGCCGCGUGAAUGAUGAAGGUCUUAGGAUUGUAAAAUUCUUUCACCGGGGACGAUAAUGACGGUACCCGGAGAAGAAGCCCCGGCUAACUUCGUG
rnacentral:rRNA from 1 species